UGGGGAAUUGUUCGCAAUGGGCGCAAGCCUGACGACGCAACGCCGCGUGGAGGAUGAAGAUCUUCGGGUCGUAAACUCCUUUCGAUCGAGACGAAUGGCCUUCGGGUGAACAAUCCGGAGGAAUGACGGUACCGAGAGAAGAAGCCCCGGCUAACUCCGUGCAGCAGCCGCGGUAAUACAGCGGGUGCGAGCGUUGUCCGGAAUCACUGGGCGUAAAGGGCGCGUAGGUGGCUUGGUAAGCGUGUGGUGAAAGUCCGGGGCUCAACCCCGGAUCUGCCGUGCGAACUGCUGAGCUCGAGCGAUGUAGAGGCAGGUGGAAUUUCGGGUGUAGCGGUGGAAUGCGUAGAUAUCCGAAAGAACACCAGUGGCGAAGGCGGCCUGCUGGGCAUCAGCUGACACUGAGGCGCGACAGCGUGGGGAGCAAA
rnacentral:rRNA from 1 species